rnacentral:rRNA from 1 species
ACGGAGGUGAUGCCUGCCCAGUGAUUUUUUUCAACGGCCGCGGGAUCCUACACCGUGCAAAGGUAGCAUAAUCACUUGUCAUCUAAAUAAUGACUAGUAUGAACGGCCCAAUGAGGAUCCUCCUGUCUCUUGUAACCAAUCUAUGAAACUGAUCUCUCAGUUCAAAAGCUGAGAUAGACCCACAAGACGAAAAGACCCUGUGGAACUUUUAAGUGCCAAUCAAUAACAUGACACCACCACUUUUAGUUGGGGCAACUUUGGAACAAAAUAAAACUUCCAAUUCGGGCAAACAUUUUUAUUUAUCUAGGUACACAUACCAACAUCAACCUCUUAACCCACACUCGACCCAGUACCACUGAUUAAAGAAACAAGCUACCCCAGGGAUAACAGCGCCAUCCCCUCUUAGAGUCCCAAUCGACGAGCGGGGCUUACGACCUCGAUGUUGGAUCAGGGCCCCCAAACAGUGCAGCAGCUGUUAACGGUUUGUUUGUUCAACAAUUAAUGCCCUACGUGAUCUGAGUUCAGACCGG